rnacentral:snoRNA from 1 species
AGAUUAUGAUGAGGACACUCUAAGAGGAGUUCCUUGAAACAUUCCAUGCAUCGAGAGAAGGAUUCAUUGGGACUUUGGCAAAACUGGAGAAUGUCGUUCCUAAGCUU